UACAGAGGGGGCAAGCGUUGUCCGGAAUUACUGGGCGUACAGCGCGCGCAGGCGGACCGCCCCGUGCCGUGUGACAAGCCACUGCUCAACAGUGGAGGGCCAGGGUACACGAGCGGUCUGGAGGCAGGGAGAGGGAUGUGGAAUGCCCGGUGGAGCGGUGAAAUGCGUAGAGAUCGGGCGGAACACCAGCGGCGAAGGCGGCAUCGCGGUCCUGUUCUGACGCUGAGGCGCGAGAGCGUGGGGAGCGAACUGG
rnacentral:rRNA from 1 species